rnacentral:rRNA from 1 species
UACGAAGGGGGCUAGCGUUGUUCGGAAUUACUGGGCGUAAAGCGCGUGUAGGCGGGUCUUUAAGUCAGGGGUGAAAUGCCAAGGCUCAACCUUGGAACUGCCUUUGAUACUGGAGACCUUGAGUCCGGGAGAGGUGAGUGGAACUGCGAGUGUAGAGGUGAAAUUCGUAGAUAUUCGCAAGAACACCAGUGGCGAAGGCGGCUCACUGGCCCGGAACUGACGCUGAGACGCGAAAGCGUGGGGAGCAAACAGG